CGAGGGGUAUAGUAGCAAUACUAGAGACCGGCGCACGGGUGCGUAACGCGUAUGCAAUCUACCUUUUGCAAAGGGGUAGCCCAGAGAAAUUUGGAUUAAUACCUUAUAGUAUAAUACCUUGGCAUCAAGGAAUUAUUAAAGAUUUAUCGGCAAAAGAUGAGCAUGCGUCCCAUUAGCUAGUUGGUAUGGUAACGGCAUACCAAGGCAACGAUGGGUAGGGGUCCUGAGAGGGAGAUCCCCCACACUGGUACUGAGACACGGACCAGACUCCUACGGGAGGCAGCAGUGAGGAAUAUUGGACAAUGGGCGCAAGCCUGAUCCAGCCAUGCCGCGUGCAGGAUGACGGUCCUAUGGAUUGUAAACUGCUUUUGUACAGGAAGAAACACUCCCUCGUGAGGGAGCUUGACGGUACUGUAAGAAUAAGGAUCGGCUAACUCCGUGCCAGCAGCCGCGGUAAUACGGAGGAUCCAAGCGUUAUCCGGAAUCAUUGGGUUUAAAGGGUCCGUAGGCGGCUCAGUAAGUCAGUGGUGAAAUCUCCCGGCUCAACCGGGAAAUGGCCAUUGAUACUGUUGGGCUUGAAUUAUUAGGAAGUAACUAGAAUAUGUAGUGUAGCGGUGAAAUGCUUAGAGAUUACAUGGAAUACCAAUUGCGAAGGCAGGUUACUACUAAUGGAUUGACGCUGAUGGACGAAAGCGUGGGUAGCGAACAGGAUUAGAUACCCUGGUAGUCCACGCCGUAAACGAUGGAUACUAGCUGUUGGGAGCAAUCUCAGUGGCUA
rnacentral:rRNA from 1 species